rnacentral:lncRNA from 1 species
UUGCAAAUUAAUAAAGUAAAAUAUUUCUAUCAAUCAAAAGUGUCGUUUCUCUCGAUCAAUUGUACUUGGGUCAGUUUUGGCAGGCUGACUUCGGCACUUCGGUGCAUGGGUCCAAUCCAUAACCAUGGGGAUACCUAUUAUAGACUGAUCACAAGUCCCCGCCUCUCUCUCGAUGACUCCUUUUCAAAAAAAAAAAAAAA